ACGCUCGACACCUACGGGAGGCAGCAGUGGGGAAUAUUGGGCAAUGGGCGCAAGCCUGACCCAGCAACGCCGCGUGAAGGAAGAAGGCCCUCGGGUUGUAAACUUCUUUUAACAGGGACGAAGUAAGUGACGGUACCUGUUGAAUAAGCCACGGCUAACUACGUGCCACAGCCGCGGUAAUCUGAGCGGGCUGGCAAGGC
rnacentral:rRNA from 1 species